CAGUUUGCCAGAUGCAAAGAGAACUGGAUAACAUGGGGGUCCCCUGAACCUGGUGUUUGCAGAUAAUGGUAGAAGGGACCAAACAACCUGCCAACGAUGAUGCUUUCUCUAUAUGCUUUCAUGUAGCUACAAAGUAUAAACUCUUGCAUGCAAUAUUAUUGAACCCUGUUGAAAUGUAUGGACAAAGACAUUCAAUAAAAUGUAUAUGCAACC
rnacentral:misc_RNA from 1 species